rnacentral:rRNA from 1 species
UGGGGAAUAUUGGACAAUGGGCGAAAGCCUGAUCCAGCAAUGCCGCGUGAGUGAUGAAGGCCUUAGGGUUGUAAAGCUCUUUUUACCAGGGAUGAUAAUGACAGUACCUGGAGAAUAAGCUCCGGCUAACUCCGUGCCAGCAGCCGCGGUAAUACGGAGGGAGCUAGCGUUGUUCGGAAUUACUGGGCGUAAAGCGUACGUAGGCGGUGACUCAAGUCAGAGGUGAAAGCCUGGAGCUCAACUCCAGAACUGCCUUUGAAACUAGGUCGCUAGAAUCACGGAGAGGUGAGUGGAAUUCCGAGUGUAGAGGUGAAAUUCGUAGAUAUUCGGAAGAACACCAGUGGCGAAGGCGGCUCACUGGACGUGUAUUGACGCUGAGGUACGAAAGCGUGGGGAGCAAACAGGAUUAGAUACCCCCGUAGUCCCUGAGCGGGCUGGCAAGGCGCAU